GACGAACGCUGGCGGCGUGCCUAAUACAUGCAAGUCGAGCGGACCCUUCGGGGUUAGCGGCGGACGGGUGAGUAACACGUGGGUAAUCUGCCCAACUGACUGGAAUAACGCCUGGAAACGGGUGCUAAUGCCGGAUAGACAACUGGUAGGCAUCUACCGGUUGGGAAAGGUGCAACUGCACCGCAGAUGGAGGAGCCCGCGGCGCAUUAGCUAGUUGGUGGGGUAACGGCCUACCAAGGCGACGAUGCGUAGCCGACCUGAGAGGGUGGACGGCCACACUGGGACUGAGACACGGCCCAGACUCCUACGGGAGGCAGCAGUAGGGAAUCUUCCGCAAUGGGCGCAAGCCUGACGGAGCAACGCCGCGUGAGCGAAGAAGGCCUUCGGGUUGUAAAGCUCAGUCACUCGGGAAGAGCGGACGAGGGAGUGGAAAGCCCUCGUCGAGACGGUACCGAGAGAGGAAGCCCCGGCUAACUACGUG
rnacentral:rRNA from 1 species